GACGAACGCUGGCGGCGUGCUUAACACAUGCAAGUCGAACGGAAAGGCCCUGCUUUUGUGGGGUGCUCGAGUGGCGAACGGGUGUGUAACAUGUGAGUAACCUGCUCUUGACUUUGGUAUAACUUCAGGAAACUGGGGCUUACACCGGACAGGUGCCCCCGCCGCGUGGUGGGGGGUGGAAAGUUUUGGGGGUUGGGGAUGGACUCGCGGCCUAUCAGCUUGUUGGUGGGGUAGUGGCUUACCAAGGCUUCGACGGGUAGCCGGCCUGAGAGGGUGACCGGCCACAUUGGGACUGAGAUACGGCCAGGACUCCUACGGGAGGCAGCAGUGGGGAAUAUUGCACAAUGGGCGGAAGCCUGAUGCAGCAACGCGGCGUGCGGGAUGACGGCCUUCGGGUUGUAACCCGCUUUCGCCUGUGACGAAGCGUGAGUGACGGUAAUGGGUAAAGAAGCACCGGCUAACUACGUG
rnacentral:rRNA from 1 species